AUUGUCUACGUUUAUCACUGGAGGCAAGGUUUCCUGGAAUGAUAUAGUUGGUCGUCUUUGUUACUUCCUCAUUUGAUCAGUGUAGAUUUUGACCCAGGCCUCGUGAUUGUGAUUUAUAAAUAGGUUUUAAAAGAUUUUCUAAGUGCAGAAUAGUUGUAAUACACAACAGUAAGUUACAUCAAACUGUAGGGUGAAAGCAAGUAUUUUGAUUUAUCAACCAGUUAUGGAGUCUGUAAAGUGGCUUACUGUAGCAGUGUUGCUAAUUUUACCGUUCAUCGUCUUGAGUAAACAAGAUGUCGGACUUGCGGACCACUGUCUCCUACCGCCUGACCGAGGCACUAAUUGUACAAUGUUUAAGUUUUCUUAUUUCUUUUAUGAACAAACAAGCAAAUGUCACGGAUUCAUUUAUACCGGUUGUGGUGGAAACAGAAACCGUUUCAGUUCAGUUGAAGGAUGCAUUCUAAGUUGCUUGAAGGUGAACUGAGGCACAUGGAAGAUGCUUUAAUCUUUUUCGUUCCUUCACAAGAUCCUGACGAUGAAACAAUAUGGAUGAUAUCAAAUCCCGACUAAGUAAUCCUUUUACUGUGUAUUUUUUAAAGUGUUUAAUAUCUUAGUAACUACGUAUUUUCAUAUAAUUGGAACUUUUAAACUUUUUCUGAAAAUUAUGAUAUUUACUUAUCAGGAAUGAAGGCUACUAAACUCUUAUAAUACUAACUAAACUGAACCUUAUUAUAUUGUAUUUUACUUAAACAUAACUAAGUGCAAAAAACUCUUUUUGUAAUGAAGCAUUGCUUUUGUAUGCAUGUCAAGAUACAUGUUGAAAAACACAUAUUUGAAUAAAACUUUAUUCAUAAAUAA